AUAUUUCCCAUUGUUUAGGUGUACCUAUUAUAGUGUCUUAUGAACCAUUUAUUACAUGUUGUGUAUACUGAUUAUACAUGCUAAAUAGGUGCCAAUUCAUCUUAUCCCUAACACAAGCUUUACUGAAAUACUGUCCUCCUGGGAAAUCCCAAGGCGCUCGCAGGCGAGACUGGAUAUGCAGUCCCUCCAGCAUGUUCUGGUGUGCCUUGUGGUCUCCUCCCAGCUUUGCAGGGAAGCAUCUGGAGAGGCAUCAUGAUCAGAUGCCCAAACCACAAAGCAGCGGUUCUGCACUGAGCUCCUUUUGGAUAUCUGAGCUCCUCACCCUGCCCAAAAGCCCAAUAACCUUAAAAAAAAAAUUGCAACCUUUUUUAUUUUGACCUUUUUAAUUUAUGCAUGUUAUGAAUUAAAUGCAUAUGUUGGAUCUUUAGAGACCUGAGACCAGAUCGCACCCUGUCUAAUUCCAUCAUUGUAUUCAGCUAUGCUCCCAAGUCCCUUCGGUUCCUCAAACUAUUUGUUUUGAACAAUCCUCUCGUGUCAAAACUGCCGAACAUUUUUGUCUAAUGUUUUUCUCCACAACAGACUUAAGAAGUGCUGCAUGUUACACAGACAUGUCAAUCUUGUCAGGUCUUGCCAGCUGAGUCUUGUUCUAACUUGCCCUCCCCUCCUUCCAUCCCCAGCUAGUCUGGCACACACCCAACUGUAUUUCAGUAUAAUAGCCCUUUCAGGGUGAGGGUGUGUGAACGUGCAUGUGUGUUUGUGAUUUGGCCUUCAAAUAUCCGGAAAAGUGAGAUGUUUAAUAUGGUCAAAUCAAUGCCAUAUUUAACAUUUUUUAUAGGACAUUUUAUAUGAAAUCUUUAUUUUUCUUUGUCACAUCUUAUUUGUCUGUACUAUUCCUUAUUUGGCACCCUGCAUGUUUAUUUAAUGUGACGUUGUCUGAAAGGUGCCACCCAAAUGACAUUUAUUUUUCCCAGGGAUGCCAAAGCUUUGAGUUGUCUGUGUCAGCAUGAGUCAGCAAUUAACUGAAGCAAAAGACUAGUUUGCGCUCUCCUUAUGAAAUGGAAAGUUGCUACAGCACUGUCAGGGAUAUUUGUGUAUAUGACUCAGCCCAUUUAAAGAUAAGGCGGAGGAAGUGGGAGGGGAUGUUAUACGUGUGUGUGUGCGCUUAUGGGGGAAAAAAACAGGCAGGUAUUCAGAGUCUUGGCUUUCUUCCUCUUCUCUCGUUCCUUUUGUUGCAGAUUCCCUCACUGAGAGAGAAACUUCAAAUUCUUUUUCAAAGACCAAGGACCUUUAGUACACACGCAGACACUUGGACGACCCUACAACAAAACUUAAAGCUCCACUGGCUGCAUUUUAAGACGCCAGGUCUGCAUUCUUUGCUUUUGGUGCGGCUUCCUUCCAUUCAUCUCCCACCUCUCCUAUUCUCCUCCCACUUAUCACUCCCCCCUUAAUAGUGUUUUGUCCCUCCUCUACGAUGUCCACCCCUUUCCCCCCUACCCAACCAAGAGGCAUCGACCACAGCCAGCCCACCUGUGGAGAGACUAAGUGCAAUGGCCGCGGUGUCUGUGUGGCUCCUCCUGGUGGCGGCACCAUUUUGCUGUGUGACUGUAAGCUGGGCUACCGGGGCGAAUCCUGCGAGAAUACGGUCAAUGGGGCGUUAAGCAUACCGCUGACCCUGAGUGUGUUGGCCAUUGUCAUCGGGCUGCUGAUCCUCGCUUUCAUCUUAGCCAAGAUAAGGCAGAAGCAAAACAACAGGCGCAGGUACUGAAAUAUAUCAGAGGUGUGUUUCCAUUGAAAGCUUCUCCGUUUGUUGUUCUUAGGGAAUAGUUCAGCUUCUUGGGGAAAACGCUUGUUUGCUUUAUUUUCGAGAGUGAGAGGAGAAGAAUGACAUCAGUGUUGUCUGUGUGUUAAAAACUAAGCUGGAUUCAGGACGUGGUUAGCCUAGCUUAGCAUAAUGACUGGAAACAGCUAGCCUAGCUGUGAAAUGAAAAAAUAUGCGCAACAAGCUCUCUGACUAACACGUAUCCUGUUUGUGGAAAGUUGAACUGAAACUAAAAUAAAUUUUUGCUAAGAAAUUUUUGGUAUUUGUUUUGACUUGUAGGCUAUUCUUAUUUGGUCAAAAUUGUAAUUACAAGCAAGAAGACAUUUAUUUUUCUGCAAUGACAGCACCUCUUACAUUAGUGUUCCCCUGGGAAUGAGGGAAGUGAGUGAGUUUUUGGUUUCGACUGACAACUUCGGUACUAGUAAUUCAAUUAGGGCAAUAUCUGUAGAAAUAGUUUCAGUCACUUCAAUUCCAAAGGCCACACAGGCAGUUAAUCAGCUGCAGACCCCUCUUUCCCCCCAAAUGUCAGUCAACCGCAGCCAAGGGCAAUGCCAACCAAAAAUGUUUUAUCCUGAUUUCAGUUUGAACUCAAACAGAAUUGUAAAACUGAGUGUUUGUUGAUAGCGGGAGUUACCGUGCGUUCAGACCGCCGCCGGCGAGAGUGUCAAAGUGGCCACAAGUUAUUCAUUUUGUAUGUGAGCUGUUGCUCACCGCCAGCUCACAUACAGACGGUGCAGCGUCUUGGACAGCGAGGGCUGUUGAAGUCCGGGCAACGUUAUGGAAAUGAGCUAUGACGCGGUUCAACAAAUCGGAAUUUAGAAGUCCCGCGCUUAUAUUUUGUUACCAAGCGUUCGAACAAACUUUGCCUCAUAUUUCAUCUACAUCAGAGCGUCCACGAACCUUUCUACAACGUUGUUGGCAGAGCAGCCAGAGCUAAUUUUUAAGCUCUCGCUGGCAGCGGUCUGAACGCACGGUUUGGUACUGGAACCAUUUCUUGGCAAAAACAGCCGGACGAAGUGAAGGUUUGCAGCUUCCUGUAGUCUUGUCUUCACAGUGAGGCUGCCGGGUUUGGUACAAUAUCGUGCCGUACAGAGACAAAAGCCAAAACCUGUGCUCACCGACCGUAUCUGGCAACCCACGCUAUAGCCGGAGACGCUAUACAUUACUACACAUUUUUAUCUGAAAGCAUAUCCUGAUUUUACCUGAACUGGCUGUUUAUUUUAUUGUUUAUUUUAUUGCUUUUGUGUAUUUUAUGUAUUUUAUUUUUCAAUAUUUUGUCAUUCACUGUGGUAUUUUAUUUCUCUUGUUGUGAAGCAAUUUGUACUUUGUUUUGAUAAAUGCUCUAUAAAUACAGUUUGAUUAUUUAUUAUAAUUAUUAUUAUACAGAAGUUCUGAGCGAAUGGAUAAACAUUUGAUCGUCAAGAAGUUCCAGCACAUAACUCUCUAAAAUCACAAAUUGCUAUUUUUACAUUUCUGUUUAUGUACAGGCUGUUUAUGUACAGGCUACAUACUGUAGUUAGCCAAGCUAACUACAGUAUGUGUGACUCCAACACCAUGAUUUAAGAGAUUGAUAUUGAUCCUCUCAUCUCACAUGAAAAGAAAACAAAAAGGCGUUCUGUCCCGAAAUGGUAUACUAUUCCCCUCAACAGAAACUUCAUCAACAUAGGAUCGGAUAGAAUAGAUUAAUUUUGUUUACAUUUGUAAACACGUCAUCCCUCAUGAAUGAUAAGGGUUUCAUCUGCAACAUAAGAGGAGAAAAUGUUCACUGAUUAAAUGUAUGUUUUUGUCUGUUGUCCACAGAAGACAUCUGGCAGCAAAACAUGGCCUCAACGUUGUUGUGUAAUGUAGAUAAAUCGCUAUUAUAUCUGAGGUAGGCAUUCGGCUGGAAAUAUACAUUUCCAAAAUGAGUUAUUAUCUGGGAAUCACAUUUGAGUAUAGAUAUCUGUCUGUAAGUAUAGAAUGUAAAGUGUAUAAAAGUAUCAUAAUUUCAAUAAAAAAAUGUUUUAAGGAAAAAUUACUUCACCAAACAUUAAUUACAACACAUAAACUAACUCCUGAAACUACCAUAGUUAAAGGUGCCCUGUGGAGUUUUCUUGUACACCAACACAAGAUAUGUUUAUGUUCAGCGUUUCUCACUAAAAGGCAUUGUGUGUAAACUAUUUACAUCCAUGUCUGCUUGCUAGCAGUCUUCUUCUUCACUGCCUUUGUUUGCACAUUGCUACGGUUGUUGGUGUGUUACCGCCACUGUCUGUGUAAAGGCAGGAUGUGUAGCGCGCUGCCCGCAUGUACACGCUAUCGCGAUACAAAAAAAGAAAAACACAACGGGUCCCCACUCAUAAAAACAUUGCUCCAUAGCGCUACUAGUGGUCAAAAACACCACAGAAUACCUUUAACUCACACACCUUAAAUCUGUGUCUAAAUGUGGAGGCCAGAAACUUUUCUGAGACAUAAAAAUAAAUAACAAAAAAUAAUUACUCUCUCAUUUUCAUCCAGGUAAACUAUGACACUGUGGAUAGUGACACUAUUGAGCUUCCAUCAGCAUCCUUCAGCAGCAAGCUUACAGCGCAGUUUGUUGAAUCUUGUGUGAAUUUUGUAAAAAGGGAAUCACAUCUACUAUUUUUGAUGGCUGACUUGUGGCAACUACUCUACAGCUGAUGCUGAGGCAUCCCAAAAACUCAAAUACUGAACUGAUGAACUGAGCUUUAACGGGGUUAACAGUGACACAACUUCACUCCAGUAAUGAUGUUUUAAAUAUAUCAUUUGAUGAUGGAAAAAUAGAACUUUAAAGGAUAUAGCCUCCUGCGAGAUUUCUUUGUGUGUUUGUUUGUGUGGGAAGCAUCUGGUUUGCUCCCAGUUGAAAAUGAUCCGAUUUCAAUGCCCAGAACAGAAAAGCACCUACACGUCACUGUCCUUCUUUAUCUCUGCUUUCCGUCUGAAUGAAAACAAAAAGGGUCUUCGAUUUGUUAUUUGAGGUGAUCUGCAAAUUGGGAUUUGAGAUCCGACAGAACAGACUCCUCAAAAAGCAAGUUUUUAUGCUUAAGUUUGCAAAAGCAGUUGCGUCCCUAGAUUUCCUCCUAGUUUACCACAUUGUGCGUUUUGGUUCGUGUGUACUGUCUGUGUGCUUAUAAAGGAGACCCUGUGCUCUCUGCAAUCUCAACUCUCAGAUUUAUUUUGUCACAAAUAAACCUCUGUGCUGCCUAGCUUUGAUGUCUCAAAAGCAAGGCAAGACAGUGGUCAUCCUACGUGAUUUGACUUACUACUAACAAAGUUACUCUCGGGGAUGUAGCCAGUGUAAAGUGCUUUUUUGUGCUGUUUUUUUUCUACACUACUCGCUGAAUUCACUACUAUGUUUUAUAUGCCUUUUUUGUAACUAUUAAUUGCAUUAGCGAGUUGCAUAACUUUUUUUAUAUUCUUGUCUUUCUCUCUGUUUUUGUGUUGCUGGAAUAGAAGGAAUUCAUGUAGUCAGACUUGUAUCAGCAAGCUGCAUGUAACUACUGAGCAUUGACUUUUAAUCAUGAUUUUGGGCGAUAUUUUGACAACUGCAUAUUUCUUGCAUCCUGUUUUCAUGUCAGCUCUGUAAAGGACUAGCUUUGCAAAUAAGGAACAAGCUGAGUCUGGGCAUGAACUGAUUUGUCUGUCCAUGCCCCUGCAAUUGUCAAAGAUGUCUGUUCUCAUGGGCUAUUUCAAUGGCAUGUGUAGUUUUUAAUUAUAAAGUCACUCACUCUCAGAAUCAGUCAGUUAGUGCACACUGAUUAACAUGAGGAACUGUAUUUAGUUAAUUUAUUGUAAUAUACGACUACAAUACCUUUAACGCACAUACACUUUUUCUACUGUAUAUAUUGUAUUGUACAUUCACCAGCUUUCAAAUAAAAUGUACAAAAACCCCAACAAAUCAGUGUAUACAUAACCACUGUACAAAUAAAGUUUCGUAUAAAUAAAGUCAUCAGAGUUAUUGACAUGA